AAAAAAAAUACUGAACUCCGAGGAAAAUUUAAAACGAAAGUCCCUAAUCAAAUGGCAAAAUCAAAUGAUAAAAAACAUCAAACAACUGUCAUAUUCCUGACUUGGUACAGGCAUUUUCAAAUGUAGAAAAUGGUUGAUUGAACCAGGUUUUAUAGCGCUUAACCUCUCACUUGUACGACAGUCGCCCAAAACUCAUUACCUGAAAUUGAACAUAUUAUUUAAAAAUUUCAGUUAUUUUACAUAAUGACUAGAUAUUUUUAUUCAUUUUACAUACUGACUAGAUAUUUUUAUUCAUUUUACAUACUGACUAGAUAUUUUCAUUCAUUUUACA
rnacentral:lncRNA from 1 species